rnacentral:snRNA from 1 species
AGACAUGGUGGUGAUCCAGCAGCACCAUCUGUCACUCUACGAUCGCCAGGGUUGAGUCAACUUGGCUGAUCUGGCCGGCUAAGCAAGUACCCAUUCCAUCCUCCUGAAGAAGUCCAUUUGGUAGAAGGCAACCUUCUCCCAGAGGAGGAGCGGCGUUCAACCGAAGAUGCACAAGUCGCUGUGUUCCUCCGCUACGACUUCCGAACAAGAACUGGAGCGAGUCCUCCUCACCUGGCUUCAAGAGAUGAGGACUGAGUCCUCCUGACAUGCCCU